rnacentral:tRNA from 2 species
GCGCCUAUAGCUCAGUUGGUAGAGCGGCUGACUCUUAAUCAGCGGGUCCGGGGUUCGAGUCCCUGUGGGCGCACCA